AGAACCAACAGGGAUUGCCUCAGUAACGGCGAGUGAAGCGGCAAAAGCUCAAAUUUGAAACCCUCGGGAUUGUAAUUUGAAGAUUUGGCAUUGGAGAAAGCUAACCCAAGUUGCUUGGAAUAGUACGUCAUAGAGGGUGACAACCCCGUCUGGCUAACCGUUCUCCAUGUAUUGCCUUAUCAAAGAGUCGAGUUGUUUGGGAAUGCAGCUCAAAGUGGGUGGUAAACUCCAUCUAAAGCUAAAUACUGGUGAGAGACCGAUAGCGAACAAGUACUGUGAAGGAAAGGUGAAAAGAACUUUGAAAAGAGAGUGAAAUAGUAUGUGAAAUUGUUGAUAGGGAAGGAAAUGAGUGGAGAGUGGCCGAGGUUUCAGCCGCCCCUCGUGGGCGGUGUACUGCCGACGCCGAGUCAUCGAUAGCGAGACGAGGGUUACAAAUGGGAGCGCCUU
rnacentral:rRNA from 1 species